rnacentral:rRNA from 1 species
ACCCAAAGGCAUAAUAAAAGUAAAGAGUAAUUUAAUUAUAAAAGUGUUAGUACUUUUUUUUAUUAAAUUCUUAAAGGAAGAUAGAUUUAAUUUCUUUAAUAGAAAAAGAGUGAUAUUUUUUAUUUCUCUUUUUUUUUUUUUAGAAAUAUCUUUCAUUCCUAGGGCGCUUGUUUCUCGCAUUGCGAGUAUAUGCGCACCUAGAGCGUACACGAUGAUACCCGAAAGAUGGUGAACUAUGCCUGGCCAGGACGAAGCCAGGGGAAACCCUGGUGGAGGUCCGCAGCGAUUCUGACGUGCAAAUCGAUCGUCAGAGCUGGGUAUAGGGGCGAAAGACCAAUCGAACCAUCUAGUAGCUGGUUCCCUCUGAAGUUUCCCUCAGGAUAGCUUGCGCUCAAUGAAACGAGUCUCAUCCGGUAGAGCGAAUGAUUAGAGGCAUUGGGGUCGAAACGACCUCAACCUAUUCUCAAACUCCAAAUAGAUGAGAACCUCGGCU